UGGAGACUGCCCCGCUCAGAAGCAGACGGUGACACCACUGGGGACUUGGUCCUGUGCUGGCCACCAGGCCGCUGAGUUAUCCCAAGGGCCUGCACUCGGUGCAGAGGCCCCAUUCCCACCUGGAGGGCCCUCAGCCUUCAGGAUUCCCUGGACCCCGGAGCAAAAUAAGGCACCUCCAUCCCAUCCCCCGGGCCCUGCGCUCUUCUGAUGCCUGCUAGAUUCCCACCCAGCCCUGCCGUCUAGACACAAGGUCCCUGCUGCAAGGGAAACCUGGCUUUUCUUGAUUUCUGAUCUCAAGGCAAGGAAGAGUGGUUCCCACUGACACUUCUCACACCCUCAUCUCACGAUUUCUUUAGUCUUCCGGCUCUGAUAACCAUUUCCGUACCAGCCACACGUAGAAAAUAAGGCUUAUUUCCUGCGCUCCACCCACCGUCACAAACAAGAGAAGGACUUCCAGCUGGUGCUCCCGACAACCCCCAUGGCUAUUGACUUCUUCCCGACUUAGCUGCUCAAGACAGUCACAAAUCUAGGAUUGGGUCCAUUAUGUAUUCAAGCCCCCUAACCUCAGAGGGAACCGCACAACUGCUCAGUUAUCUCUAUAAUCGCCCCUGGCUGAUUCACCUGUCACGUCCCUACAGGCUCCCAUUUUAACACCUGCCGGUCCUCAGGAGCACCUACCUUCUCCAUUGCCUCCUCUCUGAGAUUGUGCCCUUGCCACCAAAAUAGCUGACAAAAUGGAGAUCAGCUAUGAGCUAUCUCAGUAUCCUCUUAGUGACUUCAAAAUAGUUCUGCUUCUCCACUCAUUCCCCUCCUUCCCUCCUAUUUCAAAAGAAGCAGCAGCUUCCAAACCACAAUGAGAUACCACCU